rnacentral:misc_RNA from 1 species
GAUCAUGAUUUGGUUUUGAGGGCAAUGUCCAGGGCUCUUGAAGUUACUGAGUUAGCGUACCUGGAUAUGACAGAUAGAGUUCUUGAUCGAUAUCCGGAGCUAGCACUUAUGGGGUCUUGUUUGUUGGUUGCUUUAAUGAGAGACGAAGAUGUGUAUGUAAUGAACGUAGGAGAUAGUCGUGCUAUUGUGGCAAAGUAUGAGCCUGAGGAGGUUAGUUCUACUUCAGAAUCCAAAGGUCCACGUAAUGCUGGGUUGACUGUUGAGGGCAUUGUUGAAGAAACAAGUGCCUGCAAUGAGGAGAAUAAGGUGACAAAUGAGGCACCUGUUCAGGGUAUGAAGCUGACUGCAUUGCAAUUAUCCACUGAUCACAGCACUAAUAUUGAAGAAGAAGUUAUUAGAAUCAAGAGUGAGCACCCAGAUGACAGCAAUUGCAUUGUCAAUGGUCGGGUAAAA